AACGAACGCUGGCGGCAUGCCUAACACAUGCAAGUCGAACGAGACCUUCGGCUCUAGUGGCGCACGGGUGCGUAACGCGUGGGAACCUGCCCUUAGGUUCGGAAUAACUCCCCGAAAGGGGUGCUAAUACCGGAUAAUGUCUUCGGACCAAAGAUUUAUCGCCUUUGGAUGGGCCCGCGUUGGAUUAGCUAGUUGGUAGGGUAAAAGCCUACCAAGGCGACGAUCCAUAGCUGGUCUGAGAGGAUGAUCAGCCACACUGGGACUGAGACACGGCCCAGACUCCUACGGGAGGCAGCAGUGGGGAAUAUUGGACAAUGGGCGAAAGCCUGAUCCAGCAAUGCCGCGUGAGUGAUGAAGGCCUUAGGGUUGUAAAGCUCUUUUACCCGGGAUGAUAAUGGCAGUACCGGGAGAAUAAGCUCCGGCUAACUCCGUG
rnacentral:rRNA from 1 species